rnacentral:rRNA from 1 species
AAUCAACGCUGGCGGCGUGCCUCAGACAUGCAAGUCGAACGAUUAAAGCUCUCUUCGGAGAGUGCAUAGAGUGGCGCACGGGUGAGUAACACGUAAGUAAUCUACCUUCGAGUGGGGAAUAACGUCCGGAAACGGACGCUAAUACCGCAUAAUGCAGCGGCAUCGCAAGAUGACAGUUGUUAAAGGAGCAAUUCGCUUGAAGAGGAGCUUGCGGCAGAUUAGCUAGUUGGUAAGGUAAUGGCUUACCAAGGCUACGAUCUGUAACCGGUCUAAGAGGACGGUCGGUCACACUGACACUGAAUAACGGGUCAGACUCCUACGGGAGGCAGCAGUCGGGAAUUUUGGGCAAUGGGCGAAAGCCUGACCCAGCAACGCCGCGUGAAGGAUGAAGUAUUUCGGUAUGUAAACUUCGAAAGAAUAGGAAGAAUAAAUGACGGUACUAUUUAUAAGGUCCGGCUAACUACGUGCCAGCAGCCGCGGUAAG